AGCAGUCGCCGCGGUAACACGGAGGGGGCUAGCGUUGUUCGGAAUUACUGGCGUAAAGCGCACGUAGGCGGCUUGGUAAGUUAGAGGUGAAAGCCCAGGGCUCAACCCUGGAAUUGCCUUUAAGACUGCCGAGCUAGUAGGUGAGAGAGGUGAGUGGAAUUCCGAGUGUAGAGGUGAAAUUCGUAGAUAUUCGGAAGAACACCAGUGGCGAAGGCGGCUCACUGGCUCAUUCUAGACGCUGAGGUGCGAAAGCGUGGGGAGCAAACAGGAUUAGAUACCCCCGUAGUCCCUGUCUCUUAUACA
rnacentral:rRNA from 1 species